rnacentral:rRNA from 1 species
GACGAACACUGGCGGCGUGCUUAACACAUGCAAGUCGUACGGUAAGGCCCUUUCGGGGGUCCACGAGUGGCGCACGGGUGAGUAACACGUGAGUAACCUGCCCACAACUUUGGGAUAACGCUAGGAAACUGGUGCUAAUACUGGAUAUGUGCUCCUGCUGCAUGGUGGGGGUUGGAAAGCUCCGGCGGUUGUGGAUGGACUCGCGGCCUAUCAGCUUGUUGGUGGGGUAGUGGCCUACCAAGGCGGCGACGGGUAGCCGGCCUGAGAGGGUGACCGGCCACAGUGGGACUGAGAGACGGCCCAGACUCCUACGGGAGGCAGCAGUGGGGAAUAUUGCACAAUGGGCGCAAGCCUGAUGCAGCAACGCCGCGGGCGGGAGGACGGCCUUCGGGUUGUAAACCGCUUUCAGCAGGGACGAAGCUUUUUGUGACGGUACCUGCAGAAGAAGCACCGGCUAACUACGUG